AUGAUCGCGGCUGCAAGCGUCGAAAGACCGCAGGUGAGGAAAGUCCGGGCUUCAUAGGGCAGGAUGCCGGAUAACGUCCGGUGGAGGUGACUCCAAGGAAAGUGCAACAGAAAUAUACCGCCAGAGCAAUCUGGUAAGGGUGGAAGGGCAGUGUAAGAGACUACCGCCUUCCUGGUAACAGGAGGGGCACAUGUAAACCCCAUCCGAAGCAAGACCGAAUAAAAGCGUUGACGUGGCCCGCUAGCUUUAGGUAGGUCGCUCGAGAUAAUUGGCAACAGUUAUCCUAGAAAGAUGAUCAUUGCAGGAGAUUCUGGGAGAUUUCCCAAAAUCUCCUGAACAUAACCCGGCUUAUCGUCCUGCUUGC
rnacentral:RNase_P_RNA from 1 species